GACGAACGCUGGCGGCGUGCUUAACACAUGCAAGUCGAACGGUGAAGGCGGAGCUUGCUCUGCCGGAUCAGUGGCGAACGGGUGAGUAACACGUGGGCAACCUGCCCCUCACUUCGGGAUAACUCCGGGAAACCGGGGCUAAUACCGGAUACGACCUCCUUGGGCAUCUUUGGAGGUGGAAAGUUUUUCGGUGAGGGAUGGGCCCGCGGCCUAUCAGCUUGUUGGUGAGGUAGUGGCUCACCAAGGCGACGACGGGUAGCCGGCCUGAGAGGGCGACCGGCCACACUGGGACUGAGACACGGCCCAGACUCCUACGGGAGGCAGCAGUGGGGAAUAUUGCGCAAUGGGCGAAAGCCUGACGCAGCAACGCCGCGUGCGGGAUGAAGGCCUUCGGGCUGUAAACCGCUUUCAGCAGGGAAGAAGCCGCAAGGUGACGGUACCUGCAGAAGAAGCACCGGCUAACUACGUGCCAGCCGCCGCCGUAA
rnacentral:rRNA from 1 species